rnacentral:pre_miRNA from 1 species
AAAAAGGCAAACCCUGAAUUUCCGUGUCCAACUUUGACUGUCCGUCUUAUAUGAAAUUCUUUUAUAAUUCGUAUUUUCAUUAUUGUUAGAUGAUAAAACAUGAUUAAUAUUUUAUGCGUGACUUGUCUUUUUAAUUUUUUUCAUAAUUUUUUAAAUAAGACGGACGGUCAAACGUUAGGCACGGAAAUCAGGGUUUGUCUUUUU